rnacentral:rRNA from 1 species
CCUACGGGUGGCAGCAGUGAGGAAUAUUGGUCAAUGGACGCAAGUCUGAACCAGCCAUGCCGCGUGCAGGAAGACGGCUCUAUGAGUUGUAAACUGCUUUUGUACGAGGGUAAACGCAGAUACGCGUAUCUGUCUGAAAGUAUCGUACGAAUAAAGAUAGGCUAACUCCGUGCCAGCAGCCGCGGUAAUACGGAGGAUUCAAGCGUUAUCCGGAUUUAUUGGGUUUAAAGGGUGCGUAGGCGGUCGGAUAAGUUAGAGGUGAAAGCCCGAGGCUCAACUUCGGAAUUGCCUCUGAUACUGUUCGGCUAGAGAGUAGAUGCGGUAGGCGGAAUGUAUGGUGUAGCGGUGAAAUGCUUAGAGAUCAUAAAGAACACCGAUUGCGAAGGCAGCUUACCAAGCUACUACUGACGUUGAGGCACGAAAGCGUGGGGAGCAAACAGGAUUAGAUACCCGUGUAGUC